rnacentral:rRNA from 1 species
GGAUUAGAUACCCUGGUAGUCCUAGCCGUAAACGAUGAGCACUAGGUAGGGGGGACUCUUAUGGUCUUCUCUACCGUAGCAAAUGUGUUAAGUGCUCCGCCUGGGGAGUACGCUCGCAAGGGUAAAACUCAAAGGAAUUGACGGGGGCUCACACAAGCGGUGGAGCAUGUGGUUUAAUUCGAAACAACGCGAAGAACCUUACCUGGCCUUGACAUGUACGGAUUAACCUUGUGAAAGCAGGGGGACAGCCCUUCGGGGUCGGAACGUACACAGGUGUUGCAUGGCUGUCGUCAGCUCGUGUCG